rnacentral:tRNA from 1 species
UUAGCUUUUUAUUUUAUUAGAAUUUUUUAUUGUGAUUAAAAAAGAUUUGAGCUA